GAUGAACGCUAGCGGGAGGCCUAAUACAUGCAAGUCGAACGGUAAGGUCCCUUCGGGGAUACACGAGUGGCGGACGGGUGCGUAACGCGUACGAAACAUACCUUCAACAGGGAGAUACCUCCGGGAAACUGGAAAUAAUACCCCAUAGUAUUGAGAUAUCGCAUGAUAUUUCAAUUAAAGCUUUGGCGGUUGAAGAUUGUCGUGCGUCUGAUUAGCUAGUUGGUGAGGUAACGGCUCACCAAGGCGACGAUCAGUAGCUGGUCUGAGAGGAUGAUCAGCCACACUGGAACUGAGACACGGUCCAGACUCCUACGGGAGGCAGCAGUAGGGAAUAUUGGACAAUGGGCGGAAGCCUGAUCCAGCCAUCCCGCGUGUAGGAAUAAGGCCCUAUGGGUUGU
rnacentral:rRNA from 1 species